GACGAACGCUGGCGGCGUGCCUAAUACAUGCAAGUCGAGCGGACAGAAGGGAGCUUGCUCCCAGAUGUUAGCGGCGGACGGGUGAGUAACACGUGGGUAACCUGCCUGUAAGACUGGGAUAACUCCGGGAAACCGGAGCUAAUACCGGAUAGUUCCUUGAACCGCAUGGUUCAAGGAUGAAAGACGGUUUCGGCUGUCACUUACAGAUGGACCCGCGGCGCAUUAGCUAGUUGGUGAGGUAACGGCUCACCAAGGCGACGAUGCGUAGCCGACCUGAGGGGGUGAUCGGCCACACUGGGACUGAGACACGGCCCAGACUCCUACGGGAGGCAGCAGUAGGGAAUCUUCCGCAAUGGACGAAAGUCUGACGGAGCAACGCCGCGUGAGUGAUGAAGGUUUUCGGAUCGUAAAGCUCUGUUGUUAGGGAAGAACAAGUGCAAGAGUAACUGCUUGCACCUUGACGGUACCUAACCAGAAAGCCACGGCUAACUACGUGCCAGCAGCCGCAGUAA
rnacentral:rRNA from 1 species